AACGUAGGAGACGAGCGUUAUCCGGAUUUACUGGGCGUAAAGCGCGUGCAGGCGGUUCGGCAAGUUGGAUGUGAAAUCUCCCGGCUCAACUGGGAGGGGUCGUUCAAUACUACCGAACUCGAGGAUGGUAGAGGAAGGUGGAAUUCCCGGUGUAGUGGUGAAAUGCGUAGAUAUCGGGAGGAACACCAGUGGCGAAAGCGGCCUUCUGGACCAUUCCUGACGCUCAUACGCGAAAGCUAGGGGAGCGAACGGG
rnacentral:rRNA from 2 species